CUGCGGAAGGAUCAUUGUUGAACCCUGCGAUAGCAGAACGACCCGCUAACAUGUUAAAACAUCGGGCAAGCUCAUGGGGAUUCCUUCCCAUGUUGGCGAACCCCAGGUAGGUGGCCGCCCUCGGGUGGCCAUCGGCCUACAAAAUAAUUCGGGCGUGGAAUGCGCCAAGGAAAUUAAAACUGAAUUGAUGACCACUUUCCGAUAGUCGGGCUGUGGCGUCAUUCUAAAACACAAACGACUCUCGACAACGGAUAUCUCGGCUCUCGCAUCGAUGAAGAACGUAGCGAAAUGCGAUACUUGGUGUGAAUUGCAGAAUCCCGUGAACCAUCGAGUCUUUGAACGCAAGUUGCGCCCGAAGCCAUUAGGUUGAGGGCACGUCUGCCUGGGUGUCACGUAUCGUGUUGCCCCCAACCACUCACUCCUCUGGGAGCUAUUCCGGUUUAGGGGCGGAAAUUGGCCUCCCGUACCUUGCGGUGCGGAUGGCACAAAAGUGAGUCUCCGAUGACGGACGUCGUGACAUUGGUGGUUGUUAAAAGAACUUCUUGUCUUGUCACGUGAAUCCCCGUCAUCUUAUGGAGAUCUAUGAUCCUUAAGCGACACACAUUGUGUGCGCUCCAAAUGUGACCCCAGGUCAGGCGGGACUACCCGC
rnacentral:rRNA from 1 species